CUUAUAAUAGUAAGGUGGUGGAGGAGACGGUGAUGGUGGGGGUGGGGACUUGUAGUAGUAUGGUGGUGGCGGAGAUGGUGAUGGUGGUGGUGGAGACUUGUAGUAGUAUGGUGGAGGAGGAGAUGGUGAUGGUGGUGGUGGUGAUUUAUAAUAGUAUACAGGUGCAGGUUUUGGUGACGGUGGUGGAGGAGACUUGUAGUAGUAAGGAGGUGGGGGAGAAGGUGAUGGUGGUGGUGGUGACUUAUAAUAGUAUACUGGUGCAGGUUUUGGUGAUGGCGGUGGUGGUGAUUUAUAAUAGUAUACUGGUGCAGGUUUUGGUGAUGGUGGUGGAGGAGACUUGUAGUAGUAAGGAGGUGGGGGAGAAGGUGAUGGUGGUGGUGGUGACUUAUAAUAGUAUACCGGUGCAGGUUUUGGUGAUGGCGGUGGUGGUGAUUUAUAAUAGUAUACUGGUGUAGGUUUUGGUGAUGGUGGAGGAGGAGAUUUGUAAUAGUAAUGUGGUGGAGACUUAGUUGGUGGUGGUGGAGAUUUGUAAUAGUAAGCAGGUGGUGGUGGAGAUUUAUAAACAUAUGUCGGUGUUGGGGGAGGUGGAGACUUAUACACAUACUUUGGUGAUGGAGGAGGUGGUGACUUAUAGACAUAAGUCGGUGAUGGAGGUGGAGGAGAUUUAUAGUAGUAUGGAGCAGGUGUAGGCUUGGGCUUUUUGCAUUCGGCAUAAGGUGUCUUAGAGCCAUAAGCAAAUGGUUUUGCAUAGAGAACAACUUCAUAUUUAUUCUUUGACUUCACUUUGAGGUUAGCACCCUUUAUUCCCCAAUGAAGAUUUGUAGGAAUGCUACACUUUGAAUCCUUAGGAGCAUUGUGGAGUUUAGCCUUGCAAGCCUUUGCUCCAUAUUUGCGAUAUUCAAAUCCUUCAACUGUGAUGCUAAAUUUACCAUUGUUCUUAGUGGUACCAUAACUCACAAUUUUCUUGUCACCAGCUUUGCAAGUUACCUCAACAACAGCAUCUAAUUCAUAGAAAGAAGAAAUAAUAAUCAAUUAAUACUAAAAAUAAAUUGAAUUUACAAAUACACUUCUAAUGAAGAACAGUAAACUGUAAAGGAAUUCUUUUUUUGAAGCAUAUAUUUGUACCUUUGAGGUGUUUCUUAGCAUGAGACUUUUCAGGGUAAUCCUUAUCAUAGCAUCUAAAACAGUAAACUUUUCCAACAACCUUGACCACAAAGUGAUGAUGUGGAGGAUAAUAGUGAGUAGGCGGUGGUGGGGAAGUGUAGUAGUAUGGUGGAGGAGAUGAUUUCUUUGGUGGUGGUGGUGAAGUGUAGUAGUAUGGUGAAGGAGACGACUUAGCUGGUGGUGGUGGAGAAGUGUAGUGAUAUGGUGGAGGAGGUGAUUUCUUAGGUGGUGGAGGAGAGAUGUAGUAGUAUGGUGGAGGAGGUGACUUAGCCGGUGGUGGUGGAGAAGUGUAGUGAUACGGUGGAGGAGGCGAUUUCUUAGGUGGUGGAGGAGAGAUGUAGUAGUAUGGUGGAGGAGGCGAUUUCUUAGGUGGUGGAGGAGAGAUAUAAUAGUAUGGUGGAGGAGGUGACUUAGCCGGUGGUGGUGGAGAAGUGUAGUGAUAUGGUGGAGGAGGUGAUUUCUUUGGUGGUGGAGGAGAGUUGUAGUAGUAUGGUGGAGGAGGAGACUUCUUCGGGGGUGGUGGAGAACUAUAGUAAUAUGGUGGUGGAGGUGACUUCUUGGGUGGGGGUGGGGAGUUGUAGUAGUAAGGUGGGGGUGGCGAAGACUUAGGAGGUGGUGGAGAUUUAUAGUAGUAGGGUGGUGGAGGUGACGGUAAUGGUGGUGGAGGAGAUUUGUAAUAGUAAGGUGGUGGUGGAGAAGGCGAAGGUGGUGGUGGAGAUUUAUAGUAGUAUGGUGGCGGUGGUGAAGGUGAGGGUGGUGGUGGAGAUUUGUAAUAAUAUGGUGGCGGAGGUGACGGUGAAGGUGGCGGAGGAGAUUUAUAGUAAUAUGGUGGAGGUGGUGAUGGUGAUGGGGGAGGUGGAGACUUGUAUACAUAUGGUGGUGGUGGAGAAGGCGAUGGAGGUGGUGGAGACUUAUAUACAUAUGGUGGUGGUGGAGACGGAGAAGGAGGAGGAGGUGAUUUAUAGACAUAUGGAGGCGGGGGAGAAGGUGAAGGAGGAGGUGGAGAUUUGUACACGUAAGGUGGAGGCGGAGAAGGAGAAGGAGGUGGUGGUGACUUGUACUCAUACGCGGGAGGAGGUGGAGAAGAAUAUACAUAAGGGUCAGCCGACACUACAUUAGCAACAACCAACACAGCCAACGCCACUAAGAUCAGCCGCCAAUGACGACCCCUCAUAGGGCCGCCACCAUUAAACUUCAUUUUUCGCCGGAAAACACCACCACCAACCCCUCAAAUAUGGCUACAAAAAUCUCCAAAAGUUAAAGAGAGAAAGACUUAGAGUGUUAUAGUUGAGAAGUGAUGAAUUUAGUUGAUUGAAUGUACAAAGUAUUUAUAGUAACAUUUUAUGAAUAACUACUAGCUGGUAUAGAGUUGUCAACAAGUGACCAAUUCAAUUAAUCUAAUUGUUAAUCAAUGAUUAAAAAAAAAUAUAUUAAGAACUUAAAACAGCUAGAUAAAUUUUUUAAUAUUUUAUUUUUAAAGUCCAUUACUAGAUCACUUUGAAUUUUCCAUGCAACUUCUUUAACAAUAUAAACAUAUCAUAAAAUGGUUUAAGACAAGUGAGUGCUAAUUUAAAAUUAUUUCCACUUCUCUUGCAUUUUUUUGAACUUUUUGUUUUGUCUCAUAUAGAGUGAGAUCUCACAAUUAUUUGUGUUUUUCUAUUUACAAAAAAUAAUUAUUUAUGUAGCAUGUUCUUUUGCAUAACAUUAUGGAAUAUCAUUAGGUGGAUGAGAUAUUUCUUUAAAUUAACGAGCUUUUGAGUUUGAAUUUUAGAAAUAGAGAAAAUACUGGUUGGGAAAUAGGCCCUAUACAUCGGAAAUUUGAAUUAGUUGAGUCGAUAAAUUUCUAAUACAAUGAUUAUAAUGGAAAAUACCACAUGAAAAUCGCCCCCCUAAAAUUAAAUUAAGAAUUACCUAAUCAUAUUUGUUUUGUUUAUUACAAUUUUCUGAAUUGUAAGUGUAUAUACAUAAAAUUAAUAAUACAAGAAAACAUUUCUGUCAUUUUUGUUUAAUUACAGGGAAUAUUGGAUAUUAAUCCUGACAUUAUACUAAUUUAAUAUUACAAGCCGACAUAAGUUCAAUUAUUUCCUUAGUUGACUUUAUUUUUUAUUAUUAAUUAUUUCUUAAUGAGGAUUAGUGUAUGUUUGUCAAUUACUAAUGAAUUUUGAUUUUGAUCUUUAUAAUAUUAGACGAAAUAUAUUUAACUUUCAAUGAAUUUAAAAGUGGAUAAAUUAUUUUCAGAAUUAUAUUAUCUUGAAAAAAUGGAGUAACAAUAUAAUUUCAUAAAAUAACAUAUAUAUUAUUUUUUUCUUAUAUUUUCAUUGUAAUAAUAUUUGAAAAUGCAUGUGAAUUUUUCAAUGAUGAAAUUAACUACAUGUGGAUGCAAUACUUAAUAAUUUUUUUUGCAGCUUUUUAAUGGUCCAAUAUGUUGAGCAAAAAAGGAUCAUCAAAAGCAUAGAACAAACUAGACAUGGAUUUUUAUUCUUUUAGGGCGCAUUAUGAUGGAAAAUUGUAUAUGUUUUAUUUUGAAUUUUUUGAUGUUUGGUUGUAAGAAGAUAUUUUGGCAUUAUACAUAAAUAAAUAUGAUGUAUACUUUGGCUUCGAGUGAUAUCUAUGUCCUUUAAAUUCAGAUGUAUAUAAGUAGUCAUUCAAACUUGUUCAAAAUUGAACAAACAGAUACAUAUAUACCUCUUACAUGACGUCUUAUGUGGACAAUUUGCAUCAUACAUGUGGUAUCCUACGUGUAAUAUGUCACAUAAGACGUGUGCAUCUAAUUAUUCAAUUUUAUACAAGUUUUUAAGUGUCUACUUGUGCACACUCAAAGUUUGAGUACGUAAAUACCAAUUAAAGUCAAGUUAAAAAAACACAUUUAUAUGUUAUGCCGAAUAUUUUUUUCUGUAAUAUUCCUUUUUUCACUUUACGUGAAAGUCAUUUUCCUUUAUAAUUAUAACGAUUCCGAAUUUUGGAUCGAAAUUUUAUUCAGUACUUAGUUAUUAUUGAUGAAUUUUGCGUGUGGAGAAAUAAUCAUGGUUAUGAUCUUCUUAUUGAUUCGUGCACAAACUAAAGAAAUACAAUUUAAUUAGUAGGAAUGAAUAAAAAUGAGGAUAUCCUCAAUACAACAAUAAAUUACAAAUAAUCAAACACUAUGAAGCAUUGUUCCAUUGACGUUUAUUUUGUGCUUCAAACUAAAACCUGAAAAGAAACAACCAAAACGAAAAUUAGAGCCAUAAUUUAAAGAAAAUAUACAAAAUUAAUCUAUAAAAAAAAUCACAAUUCAAAUGUCAACUCACUUGAUUGAUUGUGGAGAAUGAUUGAACUCUUGAAGUUUCUUAGUAGUGGAUGGGAGGUGGUGGUGAAGCGUAAAUAUAUACCGGUGGAGGAGGUGAUUUCAGGGGUGGAGGUGGAGAGUGGUAGUAGUACGGAGGUGGUGGAGAAGGUGACGGUGGAGGAGGGGACUUGUAGUAGUAGGGUGGAGGGGGAGAUGGUGAUGGUGGUGGAGGAGACUUGUAGUAGUAGGGUGGUGGAGGAGAUGGUGAUGGAGGGGGAGGUGAUUUGUAGUAGUAUGGUGGAGGGGGAGAUGGUGAUGGUGGUGGAGGAGACUUGUAGUAGUAGGGUGGUGGAGGAGAUGGUGAUGGAGGGGGUGGUGAUUUGUAGUAGUAUGGUGGAGGGGGAGAUGGUGAUGGUGGUGGAGGAGACUUGUAGUAGUAGGGUGGUGGAGGAGAUGGUGAUGGAGGUGGUGGUGAUUUGUAGUAGUAUGGUGGAGGGGGAGAAGGUGAAGGUGGUGGAGGAGACUUGUAGUAAUAGGGUGGUGGAGGUGAUGGUGAUGGUGGUGGUGGAGACUUGUAAUAAUAAGGUGGUGGAGGAGAUGGUGACGGUGGUGGUGGUGACUUGUAGUAGUAGGGUGGUGGGGGAGAUGGUGACGGUGGUGGUGGUGACUUAUAGUAGUAUGGUGGAGGAGGAGAAGGUGAUGGGGGAGGAGGGGACUUGUAGUAGUAUGGUGGAGGAGGAGAUGGCGAUGGUGGUGGUGGGGCCUUAUAGUAGUAUGGCGGAGGAGGUGAAGGAGAUGGUGGUGGUGGGGACUUGUAGUAGUAAGGUGGGGGUGGUGAUGGUGAUGGGGGUGGGGGUGAUUUAUAAUAGUAUACCGGUGCGGGUUUUGGUGAUGGUGGAGGUGGAGACUUGUAGUAAUAAGGAGGUGGUGGAGACUUAGUUGGUGGUGGUGGAGAUUUGUAAUAGUAAGGAGGUGGAGGCGAUGGUGAUGGAGGUGGUGGUGAUUUAUAAUAGUAUAUAGGUGAAGGUUUUGGUGAUGGUGGUGGUGGAGACUUGUAAACGUAUGCCGGAGUCGGAGGAGGUGGUGACUUAUAAACAUAAGUUGGUGAUGGCGGUGGAGGUGACUUAUAAUAAUACGGAGCAGGUGUAGGCUUGGGCUUUUUGCAUUUCGCGUAGGGUGUCUUAGAGCCAUAAGCAAAUGGUUUUGCAUAGAGAACAACUUCAUAUUUAUUCUUUGACUUCACUUUGAGGUUAGCACCCUUACUUCCCCAAUGAAGAUUUGUAGGAAUGCUACACUUUGAAUCCUUAGGAGCAUUGUGGAGUUUUGCCUUGCAAGCCUUUGCUCCAUAUUUGCGAUAUUCAAAUCCCUCAACAGUGAUACUAAAUUUACCAUUGAUCUUAGUAGUACCAUAACUUAUAAUUUCCUUGUCACCAGCCUUGCAAGUCACUUCAACAAUAGCACCUAAUACAUGUAUAAAAAAUAAAUAAUACAUUAGUUAGAAUGAAAAUAAUUGAGUUGUUAAUAGAUUAUCGAUUAUUUUAGAUCUUUUAGAGCUUUAAGUACCUUUUAGGUGUUUCUUGCCAUGAGACAUUUUUGGAUGCUUCCAAUCAUAACAUCUAAAACAAUAGACUUUUCCAACAACUUUUACCACGAAUUGAUGAUGCGGAGGAUAGUAAUGAGUUGGUGGUGGCGGUGAAGUAUAGUAGUAUGGUGGAGGAGAAGACUUCUUUGGUGGUGGUGGUGGAGACUUAUAGUAAUAUGGAGUCGGAGGUGACUUAACAGGUGGUGGUGGAGAACUAUAAUAAUAUGGUGGAGGAGGUGAUUUCUUUGGUGGCGGCGGCGAGGAGUAGUAGUACGGAGGAGGUGGUGACUUAACCGGUGGUGGUGGAGAAGUGUAGUGAUACGGUGGAGGAGGUGAUUUCUUUGGUGGUGGUGGUGAAGAGUAGUAGUAUGGUGGAGGGGGAGACUUCACUGGUGGUGGAGGAGAACUGUAAUAGUACGGGGGAGGAGGUGAUUUAGCCGGUGGUGGUGGGGACUUGUAAUAGUAUGGUGGGGGUGGUGAUGGGGAGGGUGGUGGAGGAGACUUGUAGUAGUAUGGUGGUGGUGGUGAUGGAGAUGGAGGAGGUGGCGACUUGUAGUAAUAAGGUGGUGGAGGAGAAGGUGAAGGUGGUGGUGGAGAUUUGUAAUAGUAUGGUGGAGGAGGUGAAGGAGAAGGUGGCGGGGGUGACUUAUAAUAAUAUGGUGGAGGUGGUGAUGGUGAAGGUGGAGGUGGAGAUUUGUAGUAAUAUGGAGGUGGUGGUGAAGGUGAUGGGGGAGGAGGAGAUUUGUAGUAAUACGGUGGAGGUGGAGACGGCGAGGGAGGUGGUGGAGACUUAUACACAUAUGGUGGAGGUGGAGAUGGAGAAGGAGGAGGAGGUGACUUAUAAACAUAUGGAGGCGGGGGAGAAGAUGAUGGAGGAGGUGGAGAUUUGUAUACAUACGGUGGUGGUGGAGAAGGAGAAGGAGGCGGUGGUGAUUUGUACUCAUACACCGGAGGUGGUGGAGAAGAGUAUACAUACGGAUCUGCCGACACUACAUUAGCAACAACCAAUAUAACCAACACCGUUAAUAUUCUUGGCAAAUAUUGACGACCCUUCGUAGGGACGCCACCUUGAAGCCUCAUUUCGUCUGAAAAUUACACCACCUAUCCCCAAAUGUGGCUAGUUAGAUUAAGAAAAAAAAAAGAUAUAACCUAUAGUUUUUUUAGUUGAGAACUGAUGCCUUUUGGGGAUUCAUUAUCCUAUGUAUUUAUAGCAAACACUUCAUAGGAAGUAGCCUUUGGUUUAGAGCUGUCUAAAGGACUAAUUCAAUUGUUCUAAUUUAUAAUCAUUGACUUAAAUUAUACUAAAAUCCAUUUAUUGAUCACUUUGAAUAUUUCCACAAUAUCUAUAUAACAAGUUGUGGUAACAAUUACCUGCUACAAAGAGACACACAUGCCAUAAAAUGUUGUAUUGGAAAAUGAUUGCUAACUUUUAAUAUUUCCACUUUCUUUCCAUUAAAUAUAUAUUUUGCUUUUCCUUCACAUGUUGCCUCAAUGAUCACUGAGAUCUCAUAAUUAUGGUCCUUUUGGUUUAAUUAGCUGUGGUGGUUGACUUCGAAGAGGAAUCUAAGAUUUUAAUUUUACGAGAACAUGUUAUUUUUAGUACAACAAUCUCAAAUACUAGUAAGUUUAUAUAUGUUUUGAACAUAUUUAUUUUAACGAAUUUUUACAUAGUUUGAGCCAUAACUGUAAAUGCUAAUUCGUCAUAUAUCAACAGGACUAAAAUUUUAAACGUAUCAAUAAUCGAAGGACCAAAAGUGUUAAUCUAUGAUUCUAUUAUUUUAUUUAAUUGAAGAAGACCAGUUAAUACAGUGUCAUUAACACCUCUUUAAUUAGGUAAGAGAAUGAUUGUUUCAAAGUCCAAGGUUUAGGUAAUUACGUGGUUUAGUUUGAUAAAUAAUGAAGAAAAUAUAUGGAACCACCAUGUGAUUUUCAUAAUUUGAUACCAUUGUCAAAUCCAAAUUGAAUUAGUAAAAUUGAUUUUGACCUUUUAUGGACUAUUCGUUAUCCGUUAAACUUUUGAUUUAAUAUUACAUUUGUCGUAUCACUAAUUACCCUAGACCCUAAUCGAAGCUUCACACCUUGAAGUAUUUUUAAAUCAAUCUCUGAAAAAUUGAAGUGUUAAAAUUUAGGUCCGUUUAAAGCAUUUGGACCUAAUAUGGUCAAACUACACAUGUAUAGCCGAUUUCAAGACCUAAUAUUUUUUAAGCGCUUUAUAUCAAGUUUAUAUGAGUCGUCUGAAUUUCAAAUAUAUGUUUUAAGUUUGACUUGGUAAAACUUAGAAUAUGUAAGGGAGCAAAUUUAAAUUUUUUUUUUAUUGAUUGUCCCUUUGGACAAAUAUUUAUGCAUGAAGUUCAAAAAUAUAUGAACUUCAUGUAUAUGUACAAAGUUUUUUUAAUAAAUUGCGCGUUAAAUUAUAUUGUGUAUAUAAGGUGGCUCGUUUGUUGGAAAAAAGAAACAGUGAAUAUAAUAAAAUUAAUCUUUCUUAUUCAUGAUUUGUACACGAAGUACAAAACAACAUACAAUUAUAACUAAUAGGAAAUGAAUUGAUAAAGGAAUAAAAAACAUGAAAGCUCAUAUACAUUCAAGAACCAAUUAUAAUUGAUAACUUAUUGUAAUAAGAAAUAAUUAAGUUAUUUCUCCAUGAAGUGGCAGUGAGAACAAUGAGCAAGAAGGCCAGAGGAGAAGUUGAAGCAAACUGGUCCAUGUCAUGAAGUAUCAAUCUUCCAAUUGUAAAAUAGAAGAUGUCAUUCAAUAAAUUAAUUGAUUUGUACCAUUGAAGUUUGAUUCUUUCAAUUAAGAAACCAUCCUUUAUUUUGUGCUUCAAAUUGAAAUCUGGAUAGAAACAACCAAAUAGAAGAUUAGAGACAUAAUUCAUAAGAAAAGAGUCAUAUAUAUAUAUAUAUAUAUAUAAAUUCACAAUUCAAAUAGCUACUUACUUGAUUGAUUUGGGAGAAUGGUUGAGCUUUCGGAAAUACUUAGUAGUGAGUUGGAGGUGGUGGAGAAGCAUAAAUGUAUACUGGUGGAGGAGGUGAGUUGUAGUAAUAGGGUGGAGGAGGAGACUUUACAGGUGGAGGUGGAGAGUGGUAGUAGUAGGGUGGGGGAGGUGAUGGGGAUGGUGGUGGAGGAGACUUGUAGUAGUAGGGUGGUGGAGGAGAUGGGGAAGGUGGUGGUGGUGACUUGUAGUAGUAAGGUGGUGGAGGUGAUGGCGAUGGUGGUGGUGGAGACUUGUAAUAGUAUGGUGGUGGAGGAGAUGGCGAUGGUGGUGGUGGAGACUUGUAAUAGUAUGGUGGUGGAGGAGAUGGUGAUGGUGGUGGUGGAGACUUGUAGUAGUAGGGUGGUGGGGGAGAUGGCGAAGGUGGUGGUGGUGACUUGUAGUAGUAUGGUGGAGGUGGUGAUGGAGAUGGUGGAGGAGGGGACUUAUAGUAGUAGGGCGGUGGAGGUGAUGGUGAUGGUGGUGGUGGAGAUUUGUAAUAGUAUGGUGGAGGGGGAGAUGGUGAUGGAGGAGGAGGAGACUUGUAGUAGUAAGGUGGUGGAGGUGAUGGUGAUGGUGGUGGUGGAGACUUAUAGUAGUAGGGAGGUGGGGGAGAAGGUGAUGGUGGUGGUGGUGAUUUAUAAUAGUAUACUGGUGCAGGUUUUGGUGAUGGUGGUGGAGGAGACUUGUAGUAGUAAGGAGGUGGCGGAGAAGGUGAUGGUGGUGGCGGUGACUUAUAAUAGUACACUGGUGCAGGUUUUGGCGACGGUGGAGGUGGAGAUUUAUAAUAGUAUACUGGUGUAGGUUUUGGUGAUGGUGGAGGUGGAGAUUUGUAAUAGUAUAUCGGUGCAGGUUUAGGUGAUGGUGGAGGUGGAGAUUUAUAAUAGUACACGGGUGCAGGUUUUGGUGAUGGUGGUGGUGGUGACUUAUAAUAGUACACAGGUGCGGGUUUUGGUGAUGGUGGUGGUGGAGAUUUGUAAUAGUAAGCAGGUGGUGGUGG
rnacentral:lncRNA from 1 species